CCCCUUGAGAGUGGCGAACGGGUGAGUAAUAUAUCGGAACGUGCCCAGUCGUGGGGGAUAACGUAGUGAAAAUUACGCUAAUACCGCAUACGAUCUAAGGAUGAAAGCGGGGGAUCGCAAGACCUCGCGCGAUUGGAGCGGCCGAUAUCAGAUUAGGUAGUUGGUAGGGUAAAGGCCUACCAAGCCAACGAUCUGUAGCUGGUCUGAGAGGACGACCAGCCACACUGGAACUGAGACACGGUCCAGACUCCUACGGGAGGCAGCAGUGGGGAAUUUUGGACAAUGGGCGAAAGCCUGAUCCAGCCAUUCCGCGUGCAGGAUGAAGGCCCUCGGGUUGUAAACUGCUUUUGUACAGAACGAAAAGGUCUCUAUUAAUACUAGGGGCUCAUGACGGUACUGUAAGAAUAAGCACCGGCUAACUACGUGCCAGCAGCCGCGGUAAUACGUAGGGUGCAAGCGUUAAUCGGAAUUACUGGGCGUAAAGCGUGCGCAGGCGGUUAUAUAAGUCA
rnacentral:rRNA from 1 species